rnacentral:lncRNA from 1 species
GCAAUAACCAUAAGCAUGGACCUGAAAAUUGUGGCUGCUUCCAUCAUGUUACUGCUUUUAUGUUCUGAAGUAUCCAGCUAUCGCCUGCAGAAACGAGAAGUUCAGGAGGAAGACACGAUUAGUCAAAUUCAGGAAGCGGCUAAAAAAUACUGGGAUCAAGUUUCCGGGACAGCCCAGAGCUGGUCUGAUGCAGUCAAGUCUAUGACCGUUUAUGAGAAAGCCCGUGACGCCUACGAGAAAGCUACCUCAGCCGUGAGCACUUACUUUGGCAUCUUCUCGGAUCAAGUCAUCCACUGGUGGCAAGAUGCUGAUCAUUAAAACAGAGCCGUCAUUUCCCUUCGGUGGAGACGGGCUAAUGAGUUUCGGCGAGCCAAUGACACCACCACCCGGCCCUCUUUUCCCCCCACACAUUUUGAGAACAAAGACAAUUUGCUGCCGACAAGGAGAAUAAAGUUCUUUCCCUUUUUUGCUCUGUUCA